rnacentral:lncRNA from 1 species
CCAUAAAAAAAAGCAGAGAGUUUUCAAAAAAUCUCUCUUUCACAGCCCUCACGUCCGGCCGAUAGGGCCGUCGCAUGCGCCGCCGAAACCCCGCCUUCGUUGUGGUCGGAGCCGAAAAAUGGGUUUUUAACCCCGUUUUGAGUGUCCUCGAGAGCCAAGCCCUCUCAAACCCAAAAGGCCGAAAGAAAAGGACCCUUGACCCCCCUUUCGAUCCGGUCCCGAUGACGGAGAACCGCCCUCCGAUGGCGUGGUCACGGGGCGCCUCAGGUAAAUCCCUCCUUUCUCUUUUUUAUUCUUGUUAUUUAUUAAAAAUAUUUGUAAAGAAAUAAAUAAAUAAAUAAUAGUCGAAUAACAAAAAAAAACAAAAAAAACGAUAGAAUCUUAGUUAACAUUUUUAAACUUCUUAUUCUGUUUUUUUAUUCUUUAAUGCGCGUAAAAAAAUACAAAGAUGAGAUUUCGGCCUUUAUAGCCGGAUACAAACUUUAAAUUUUUCCUUUAUCUGCCUGUCAUUAGCAUGCUUCUGUUGUUGCAUUCAAUUUGCAGGGGUUUCGAGGCCAACGGUGGUGGCAGAGGCAUGCACGAGGAGCGACAGACCUAGGUGCGGCGCACCUAGGGUUUCUCUUGGCUGAAAUUUGUUUAGUUUGGUGGGCUUGUUGGGCUAGGGUUUAAUUGUAUUUGGGCUGGUUUUGAUUUUAGGUUUGAAUGUAAUUGGACUGUUAACAUUUUGGGUUUUAUUUGUUUAUUUUUGGGCUUUUAGCCUGGGCAAAAAUUGGGCUACUACAUCUAAAAUUAUACAAAAUCAAAGUUUAUAUAUAACAUUACACAUUGCACCGAAGUUUAUGU